UGCCAGCCGCCGCGGUAAUACGGAGGGGGCCAGCGUUGUUCGGAAUUAUUGGGCGUAAAGGGCGCGUAGGCGGCUAGGCAAGUCAAAGGUGAAAUCCCGCAGCUUAACUGCGGAACUGCCCCCGAUACUGCUGAGCUUGAGUGCAGGAGGGGUGACCGGAACUCCAGGUGGAGCGGUGAAAUGCGUAGAUAUCUGGAGGAACACCAGAGGCGAAGGCGGGUCACUGGACUGCAACUGACGCUGAGGUGCGAAAGCUAGGGGAGCGAACAGGAUUAGAUA
rnacentral:rRNA from 1 species